CCUACGGGUGGCAGCAGUGAAGAAUAUUUGUCAAUGGACGAGAGUCUGAACCAGCCAAGUAGCGUGAAGGAUGACUGCCCUAUGGGUUGUAAACUUCUUUUAUAUGGGAAUAAAAUGUUCCACGUGUGGGAUUUUGUAUGUACCAUAUGAAUAAGGAUCGGCUAACUCCGUGCCAGCAGCCGCGGUAAUACGGAGGAUCCGAGCGUUAUCCGGAUUUAUUGGGUUUAAAGGGAGCGUAGGUGGAUUGUUAAGUCAGUUGUGAAAGUUUGCGGCUCAACCGUAAAAUUGCAGUUGAAACUGGCAGUCUUGAGUACAGUAGAGGUGGGCGGAAUUCGUGGUGUAGCGGUGAAAUGCUUAGAUAUCACGAAGAACUCCGAUUGCGAAGGCAGUUCACUGGACUGCAACUGACACUGAGGCUCGAAAGUGUGGGUAUCAAACAGGAUUAGAUACCCGUGUAGUC
rnacentral:rRNA from 1 species